GGCCAGACUCCUACGGGAGGCAGCAGUGGGGAAUAUUGCACAAUGGGGGAAACCCUGAUGCAGCGACGCCGCGUGAGUGAAGAAGUAUUUCGGUAUGUAAAGCUCUCUCAGCAGGGAAGAAAAUGACGGUACCUGAAGAAGAAGCCCCGGCUAACUACGUGCCAGCAGCCGCGGUAAUACGUAGGGGGCAAGCGUUAUCCGGAUUUACUGGGUGUAAAGGGGGCGCAGACGGCGAUGCAAGCCAGGAGUGAAAGCCCGGGGCCCAACCCCGGGACUGCUCUUGGAACUGCGUGGCUGGAGUGCAGGAGGGGCAGGCGGAAUUCCUGGUGUAGCGGUGAAAUGCGUAGAUAUCAGGAGGAACACCGGUGGCGAAGGCGGCCUGCUGGACUGCAACUGACGUUGAGGCCCGAAAGCGUGGGGAGCAAACAGGAUUAGAUACCCGGGUAUA
rnacentral:rRNA from 1 species